rnacentral:rRNA from 1 species
AGCUAACGCAUUAAGUGCCCCGCCUGGGGAGUACGGCCGCAAGGCUAAAACUCAAAGGAAUUGACGGGGGCCCGCACAAGCGGCGGAGCAUGCGGAUUAAUUCGAUGCAACGCGAAGAACCUUACCAAGGCUUGACAUGAACCGGAAAGACCUGGAAACAGGUGCCCCGCUUGCGGUCGGUUUACAGGUGGUGCAUGGUUGUCGUCAGCUCGUGUCGUGAGAUGUUGGGUUAAGUCCCGCAACGAGCGCAGCCCUCGUUCUAUGUUGCCAGCGCGUUAUGGCGGGGACUCAUAGGAGACUGCCGGGGUCAACUCGGAGGAAGGUGGGGACGACGUCAAAUCAUCAUGCCCCUUAUGUCUUGGGCUUCACGCAUGCUACAAUGGCCGGUACAAAGGGUUGCGAUACUGUGAGGUGGAGCUAAUCCCAAAAAGCCGGUCUCAGUUCGGAUUGGGGUCUGCAACUCGACCCCAUGAAGUCGGAGUCGCUAGUAAUCGCAGAUCAGCAACGCUGCGGUGAAUACGUUCCCGGGCCUUGUACACACCGCCCGUCAAGUCACGAAAGUUGGUAACACCCGAAGCCGGUGGCCUAACCCUUGUGGGGGGAGCCGUCGAAGGUGGGACCGGCGAUUGGGACUAAGUCGUAACAAGGUAGCCGUACCGGAAGGUGCGGCUGGAUCACCUCCUU